UACGUAGGGGGCAAGCGUUGUCCGGAUUUAUUGGGCGUAAAGAGCGUGUAGGCGGCCAUGCAGGUCAGCUGUGAAAACUCGAGGCUCAACCUCGAGACGUCGGUUGAAACCGUAUGGCUAGAGUCCGGAAGAGGAGAGUGGAAUUCCCGGUGUAGCGGUGAAAUGCGCAGAUAUCGGGAAGAACACCCAUGGCGAAGGCAGCUCUCUGGGACGGUACUGACGCUGAGACGCGAAAGCGUGGGGAGCAACAGG
rnacentral:rRNA from 1 species